GACAACGCUGGCGGCGUGCCUAACACAUGCAAGUCGAGCGGGGUUGAAGCGAGGGGUAACUCGAGUUUCUACCUAGCGGCGGACGGGUGAGUAACGCGUGGGCAACCUGCCUCAAGGACUGGGAUAACAGCUCGAAAGGGCUGCUAAUACCGGAUAAGCCUAUGGCCUCGCAUGGGGCCAUGAGCAAAGGGGAAACCCGCCUUGAGAUGGGCCCGCGUCCCAUCAGCUAGUUGGUGAGGUGAAGGCUCACCAAGGCGACGACGGGUAGCCGGCCUGAGAGGGUGACCGGCCACACUGGGACUGAGACACGGCCCAGACUCCUACGGGGGGCAGCAGUGGGGAAUCUUGCACAAUGGGCGAAAGCCUGAUGCAGCGACGCCGCGUGAGCGAAGAAGGCCUUCGGGUUGUAAAGCUCUGUCUGGAGGGACGAAGGAAGUGACGGUACCUCCGGAGGAAGCCACGGCUAACUACGUG
rnacentral:rRNA from 1 species